ensembl:lncRNA
AAAUGUCUCGCUCACACUAAUCAGUGGGCUAACAGCUACCAGGAAGGAUGAGCCUUGCUGCUGCUAGUUAAAACCUGCAAGGGCAAGAUGCAGAACUGUGUGUUAUCUCUUUAGCAGACUGAAGCUCUCAAUUCAUUACAGCCUGCAGAAAGGAAGCAUGCAGAUUAGAAGAGCACCUAUUUGGUGUGCUUGUAGGAUACAGAGAUCUCAAUUUUAAAACCAUCCCUAUUCAAGCACACUAAUGUCUUCUCUGGAAUACAUCCCCACACCAAAACAGCUGGUACUGUGUGUGCUUCAUACUGACUGAUAGGGAAGAAGAUAUUCCCCAUACCAUCUUCUCCUGCCUGCUAAAGCAUCAAACAACCAAGGAUUGGAGAAAUCUUCUGUGGCUCCUCUUAUAUACCCUGAGGAAGUUUUGCCAGAGGUGAACUAGAUCUUGCUCAAGUGUUUGCAUAGGAAGUUGGCCACCUGGAGGUAACGAUGAGGGAGGAACUUCUCUUGUCUCUUUUGCUGUCCUUAUAUCAAGAGACUCUUGUAAGCCUCUUUUAAUAUAAAGCCUCUAUUUUCUGUUGGGUUCCUCUGUGGAAGAUAAUGAUCUUGGUAAAAUGUUUACCUAGACUUCCUUACACAAAGAGCUAUCAUGACAAUGUACUUUCUUAAGUAUGUAAUUUUAGUCAGUAAAAAAGAAACGUGUGGUUCCAGACAGGGAAAAUACUAUUGCUGCAUUUUUUUUCUUUUACUGUCUUAGCGGUUGUGAAGGAAGAAAUACGUGAUUCAGUUGAUCUGCACAUACUGUUGCAGUUUGGUCAGGCAAAAUAUCCUGAGACAUCUUCUGUGUUGAUACUUAUCUUUGGAGACUGGUAUUAUGAGCUAAACUAAGAGAGCAUGUAAUUAACAUUUAUAUGCACAGUAAUUUAAAUUAUAGUAGAAUGUAUAGGAUCUUUAGAAGGCCAUAAGACAGCUAGUUUUAAUUCAGAUAUCCUAAGAUAAUGUAGGUAGUGUCCAGAUAAACAUGCCAGUACUGCUUGCUUUGUUCAUCUAAAUAUAUUGUUAUUUUGCCAAUUUUCUAGAGCAAUGGAGUAGUAAAGUAGAGGUCAAAAUAGAUUCUACAAAGCAAUAUGCAAUUCAAUUCUUUAACCCUAACCCAAGUGUGGGAAUUAUUAAGAGUUCUGGGAUACUUUAUUGAGCCUACAGCCACAAGUCAGUAUUUUCUUAGAGAGAGAGAGAGAAUGAUGAAAGAAUAAUAAAAUCAUUAUGUGAUAAUUUACACCAGAAGUGCAAAAGCCCUGUUGUAUCCAUGCACCUAAAUAUAGGUUGAACAAAAAAAAAGGGGGGGGGGGGGCAGUUAAAGCAAUUUCCAUCCUCAGGUUAUGUUACAAACCUUGUAUUUAGUGAAAGGAGAAUGAGUAGCUUCCUAAAAGCACAGAUACUCAAGGUGAUCAUAUUCUGUAUGCUGUAGUAAGAGGGGAAAAAAAAGCUAUAAAGACAGUAUUUAUCUUUGCUGAUGGUAACCUAAUUAACCAUAAACUGUACUAAAAUGCAGCAGUGUCCAAGGAUGACUUGCUCCUUCUGUACUGACAGGCAUAGAAAUGUUGGCAAUAAAUUUAAGCUGUAAGG